CUCUUACCUUCCUACAUUUAGCACUGAGCACAUGUGGGAUAACACGAGGAGAAACGAGGACUAGCUAGCCCGCUGCGGCCGCUCCAUCCUCCCGAGGCUGGGGAAGAGAUGUCGGCUGGAGGCACGCAGUCGUUCUUCAUUGAGAGGUGGAGAGCGCACAGGCGUCACCCCACCCUUCUACUACUUCAUGUGGGCGCUGCUGAAGACUGACAGGAAGCUCCUCAUCCACAAUCUCCCUGGCAACAAGUGGCGAAAAAGCUGAGCGACGGUUCCCUCGGCCAAUCGCAGGCCCCGAGCGCGGUGACGACACAUGACUCCAGCGUGCCCCGGCCAAUGGCGACGCGGCAAGGGUGGGGUCCCGGGGAAACGCCGAAUUCCUAUUGGAGGUCUGCGCGGUGUUAGCAUCGUUAGCUCCUGUGCUGCUAACUACCGUGACAAUCCCAACUAGUUUAAAAAGUCGCCCGGACAACGCGCCGCGCUGCGCCCGCUCAUGCUCGCGUCGACGCCGGGCAGCAGCCGCCGGUGUCCGGGGGAGCGGCGGGUCCGUGACACGCCCGUAAGUGUUGAAAUUUGAUCUGGAUGUUUAGGAUGAAAAAGAAAAUGCUGCUGGGAAAUCACCAACUGAGUGAGCACAAAUAAAGUGAAACAGAAA